rnacentral:rRNA from 1 species
GUAACAGGUCUUCGGAUGCUGACGAGUGGCGAACGGGUGAGUAAUACAUCGGAACGUGCCUAGUAGUGGGGGAUAACUACUCGAAAGAGUAGCUAAUACCGCAUGAGAUCUACGGAUGAAAGCAGGGGAUCGCAAGACCUUGUGCUACUAGAGCGGCUGAUGGCAGAUUAGGUAGUUGGUGGGAUAAAAGCUUACCAAGCCGACGAUCUGUAGCUGGUCUGAGAGGACGAUCAGCCACACUGGGACUGAGACACGGCCCAGACUCCUACGGGAGGCAGCAGUGGGGAAUUUUGGACAAUGGGCGAAAGCCUGAUCCAGCAAUGCCGCGUGCAGGAUGAAGGCCUUCGGGUUGUAAACUGCUUUUGUACGGAACGAAAAGCUUUGGGUUAAUACCCUGGAGUCAUGACGGUACCGUAAGAAUAAGCACCGGCUAACUACGUGCCAGCAGCCGCGGUAAUACGUAGGGUGCAAGCGUUAAUCGGAAUUACUGGGCGUAAAGCGUGCGCAGGCGGUUUUGUAAGACAGAGGUGAAAUCCCCGGGCUCAACCUGGGAACUGCCUUUGUGACUGCAAGGCUAGAGUACGGCAGAGGGGGGUGGAAUUCCGCGUGUAGCAGUGAAAUGCGUAGAUAUGCGGAGGA